UUAUUGGAGAGUUUGAUCCUGGCUCAGGACGAACGCUGGCGGCGUGCCUAAUACAUGCAAGUCGAGCGGACUUGAUGGAGUGCUUGCACU
rnacentral:rRNA from 1 species